AGUCACAGCCUCACCCCUCUCCUCUUAGCGCCGCUCAUUUUGGUUUCUUCAAUUUUGUUCUUCUUUCUUUCUUCUUUUUUCAUUUUCGUUCAAUCUUAGGCCCUCACUCCUCAGCGCAGCUCACUCGCUCAGCCUCCUUUUAAGCUUGGAAUAAUUUUCCUAACUUUGCGGCACUCAUUUUCGUUAACUGACAGGCACACAAUAAGUAAUUUGAAUCGGUUUGAGGGAAAGGGACGCCCAACCCACAAUACCCGAUCCGAUCUGCCAACCCGCAAUAUCUGCCCCGCAAAACCCGAUACCCAGCGGAUAAUGUUCACUGUAGACGAGCCACGGGUUAUGAAGAUGAGGAGUAUCAGGAUUGUCCAGACCUUUAGGUGAUCUUGAUGGCAAUAUUUGAGACUAGGAUGCCUCCCAUUUUUGUAGACUAAUAUGUUUAGUCCAUUAUUAUAAUAUUCGGAGAAUAAUUUUUAUAUUUUUGUUAGUAUGUAUAUAAUGUUUGUAAAUUAUCUGUGUCAUACAUGGUACAAAUACUAUUUUAA